UUAAACGUCGCCCAUGGGCCAUCAAGCCCACUGCUCCAUCAAGCAGACUGAACGAGAAACUAGUGAAGAGGGAAAGUUCUAAAGAGUGAAGCUUUCGGACACGGUGAGCUCGCUUCUUCUCUUCUUCUUCUUCUUCGGAAGGAAACCGUAAACUGUUCGGAUUUGGUUUCUCUGCGGAAACCUAGAGAGAGGGAUAGUGAGAGGGAAUGGGAGGGUCUUCACUGUCUGGCUUGCAGGAACACCUGAAAUUGGCGAGGGAGUACGCUCUGGAAGGAGUCUAUGACACCUCCAUUAUCUUCUUCGACGGCGCCAUUGCUCAGAUCAACAAGCACCUAAACACUCUUGAUGACCCUUUAAUUCGUGCAAAAUGGAUGAAUGUCAAAAAAGCCAUUUCCGAGGAAACGGAAGUUGUAAAGCAAUUAGAUGCAGAGAGGAAGGCAUUCAAGGAAAGUCCCGCGGGCCGACGCACUUCUUCACCGCCAAUAAAUGCUAAAUCCUCAUUUGUUUUUCAACCGUUGGAUGAGUACCCAACUUCCUCAGGCGGUGCUAUGGAUGAUCCUGAUGUAUGGCAGCCACCUAAUCGGGAUCCUACGAGUAGAAGACCAGCAAGGGCCGGUCAAGUGGGCAUGAGGAAGUCGCCACAAGAUGGGACUUGGGCUCGCGGUUCCACUAAAACUAAUACAACUGGCCGAGCUCCAAAGGCUGGUGGUUCAAGCAGGGUAAAUUCAGGUGUUCGAGCAUCAACUACUGGAAAGAAAGGCCCUGGUUCUGGCAAAUCUAGUAAGGGAGAUGCGGCGAAUGGUGAUGCUGAAGAUGGAAAGUCAAAGAAGGGACAAUAUGAGGGGCCUGAUCCCGACUUGGCUGCAAUGCUUGAAAGGGACGUGUUGGAAACCAGUCCCGGAGUAAGAUGGGAUGAUGUUGCUGGGCUUAGUGAAGCAAAAAGACUACUAGAAGAAGCUGUUGUGCUUCCUCUAUGGAUGCCUGAGUAUUUCCAGGGAAUUAGAAGACCCUGGAAAGGUGUCCUCAUGUUUGGUCCUCCUGGAACUGGGAAGACACUACUAGCUAAGGCAGUGGCUACAGAGUGUGGCACCACAUUUUUCAAUGUUUCCUCAGCUACAUUAGCUUCUAAGUGGCGUGGGGAGAGUGAGCGCAUGGUGCGGUGCUUGUUUGAUCUUGCUAGAGCAUAUGCGCCGAGUACUAUUUUUAUUGAUGAGAUUGAUUCUCUCUGCAAUGCUCGAGGGGCAUCAGGGGAGCAUGAAUCAUCCAGAAGAGUAAAGUCUGAACUCCUAGUUCAGGUGGAUGGCGUAAACAAUAGUUCCACAGGUGAAGAUGGUGCCCGAAAAAUAGUGAUGGUUUUGGCAGCUACUAACUUUCCAUGGGACAUAGAUGAGGCGUUGAGGAGGCGGCUGGAAAAGCGUAUUUACAUUCCUCUUCCAAAUUUUGAGAGCCGGAAGGAACUUAUUCGGAUCAAUUUGAAAACUGUAGAGGUCGCUCCUGAUGUAAAUAUUGAUGAAGUGGCUCACCGAACAGACGGUUACAGUGGAGAUGAUCUAACAAACGUUUGUCGGGAUGCUUCCUUGAAUGGCAUGAGGCGAAAAAUAGCUGGAAAAACACGUGAUGAGAUUAAGAACAUGCCGAAGGACGAGAUUUCAAAUGACCCUGUUGCCAUGUGUGACUUUGAAGAGGCCUUAGGGAAGGUCCAACGAAGUGUUUCUGCAGCUGACAUAGAAAAGCAUGAGAAAUGGUUUACAGAAUUUGGGUCAGCAUAAACAGGAUCAUGCCUUACUGAAGGUUAAUGUCUAUUCAUUAUACGCUUUUGAUAUGCUUGGCCAAGUCAUUAUGUUGCUGCGACAGGAUCUUGUGAAGCACCAAAUUGCAGAUUGCUUGAGGAGUCUCCACGCACUAACAACGAUAAUGUUGGCAGUGAUCUCUGUCACUUUGGAUUAAAGCGGGUGGGAGCACAGGAGAGAGGUCAAGACGAUGAUCCAACCCAAUAGAUUGUGAUAACAAUUAUUUGAUUCUUAGACCCAUUAACGAACACUCUUUUUACUCAAUAAUUAUAACACAAUUCUAGCUAUUAUAUAUGCAGUUCUAUACAAAAUCUUUUCUUGUCUCGCUUGAAGAUGUUUUGGAAUUGCACCUACUUCUCCACCCAAGUUAGAAAAAUGAUACAAAAUAACCAGAGUCAAGUGUACUCAAGAUCGAGGAACUUCAGAAAUUUGCAGUUCUCGUGCUUUUCACGGAUUCCACAGUGAGAAUAGUAUUUGCAGUUCUCGUGCAUUUCUGUAUUUUUUAACUCAAAAGGACAUGUACUUUUAGGUUCACAGUUCAUACUGUCAUGCCUGAUAAACUAGGUUGGAGUUUUGCAUGCUCCCUAUAUUCAAACUGACAAUGAAAGGAUAGUAAAACUGAGAGCAAAAGUACAGCUAGGGAAUAGUAACAGAUUGAAUGAUGUUCAUUUUGUUGUUAUCUUGGGACGAGUUUUCAAGUCUCUUCGCCCUGCCUAGUUUUUUCAUUUUUGUUCUUUCUAUAUUGUCUCAUUCUCUGCUUCCUUCACUCUGCAGGCCUCUUCUCUGUGCUAUGAUGCUACUUACUCAUAUUAUUUUGGUGUUUUUUUGUUCAUUUUGUUGCCUUCUUUUCACGAACGUCGUCUCAUGCAUGCUUCAGUUUCUUUUUACGGACGUUGGGAUGUAUCGAUAAGUUCAACUGAAGCAUCCUAACAAAUCAAGAUAGAUAUUGAAGUACACAAUAUUUCUAUAUAUAAAUAAUCGGUAUGUGAUUUUUUUUUACUGUA